CUCCUACUCUGGUGGAACAGGAGACAGGUAUGACAAUGACAAGUUUAUCAUUGUGAUAGAAAGAGCAACCAGAAGCAUCACACUCCAAACACCAGGCCUGUUUACUGCUUCUAAACAAACCCUCAUCAGGUCCUCUCCUGCUGAUCCCUUUAUAUGAGACAGCUAUAUCAACCCAUUCCCCGCUCCACUCCACCUCCCAGUAGCAGGCUCCAGACAGACCCUCUCCACACAACACCUGGGGGUAGGUGGUAAAUCUGUCUGAAUGGGCAGGAUAAAGCUGGUCCUUAUAACGCCGUGUCACCUUUCUGUUCCCCUCAGACAGAUACAGACAGUUAAAUGCUGUGUUGGGAUCCAAUGUGAGCUGACAGGAAUCUGAGGAGAAGACAAAACAACAGGUGAUGUGGCAUUGGACAAAGACCAGGAAGAGGGUUGUAAUUGGACUGAGGUGCCUGUGGAAGUUCCAUUCAUGGUACGUAUGUGUGCCAAGCAAUACUCUACACUUCCCAAUUCUCUUGACUCAACACCUCAAAGUACAUAGUUAUUUAAAGAUUUAUUGAGGAAGAUAAUACGGCUCAUAAAGGGACAAUUCAGGAGGACAAAGUCACAAGGCGGCAGAAUGGAAAGUCAAGGGAAGAUUUUAGAAUAUGUGAACUGGAGUCCUGGGCUGCCAUCUCACUUGGUACUGCAGCAAUGGCGAUCCUCAAUGGUCAUAGACUAUAGGGUGUUCCAGGGGAUGGGUGUGUGCAAGGUGCUGCGAGAACAUAAUGAAAAGCUAUUUGGGAUGGAAUAUGAUUUGUAGAUCAGGGAUUCUGUACAGUGCCUUGCUCAGCUCAUCCUGUCAAACGGGUUAGUUAGAAGAUCGACGGUGGAGAAAGGUAGCCUGAAAUCCAGACCUGUCUGUGCUAACAUUCCACUCCUUGUACACUCAGGCUAGGAGAAAGGGAGGCCUGCUAACACUGGAGAAAUGGGAAAAACCCUAACCUCUAUAUACUGUAGUACACAAGUAAUUAUUUGUUGAAUUAUGGUUGUUGCCAACACAACACUGUGGUGACAUUAUAACAUGCAAAUAUUGUGUGGGAGUUGUGAAAGGUAGCCUAUUUACUUGCGAAUACAACCGCCUAACUGAUGAUGGGCAGAUUUGUCUGGGGGUAUCGUCGGACAGGGCCACAGUGUCCCCCGACCCCCCCCCCCCCCCCCGUCCGUCUCAGCCUCCAGUAUCUAUGCUGCAAUAGUCUCUGUGCCGGGGGGCUAGGGUCAGUCUGUUAUAUCUAGUGUAAUUCUCCUGUCACAUCUGUUGUCCUGUGUGAAUCUAAGUAUUCUCCCUCUAAUUCUCUCUCUCCCUCUUCUCCCGGUGGAUCUGAGCCCUUAGGACUAUGCUUCAGGACAACCUGGCCUGAUGACACCUGGCUGUCCCCAGUCCACCUGGUCAGGCUUCUGCUCCAGUUUCAACUGUUCUGUCUGCAGCUAUGGAACCCUGACCUGUUCACUGUACGUGCAACCUUGUCCCGGACCAACUGUUUUUGACUCUCUCUCUCUCUCCCUACCGCACCUGCUGCCUCUGACCAACUGACAUUUACUCCUGAGGUACUGACCUGUUGCAUCCUCAACAACCACUGUGAUUACUAUUUGACCCUGCUGGUCAUCUAUGAACAUUUGAACAUCUUGAAGAACAAUCUGGCCUUAAUGGCCAUGUACUAAUAUAAUAUCCACCCGGCACAACCAGAAGAGGACUGGCCACCCCUCAGAGCCUGGUUCCUCUCUAGGUUUCUUCCUCGGUUCCUGCCUUUCUAGGGAGUUUUUCCUAGCCACCAUGCUUCUACAUCUGCAUUGCUUGCUGUUUGGGGUUUUAGGCUGGGCUUCUGUAUAACACUUUGUGACAUCUGCUGAUGUAAAAAAGCGCUUUAUAAAUACAUUUUACUGAUUGAAUUUGAUUGAUAUGUCUGCAAACAGUCUAGCUCCUCUCUUACGAACCGAUGGCCAUGAACCAGUAGUUCCUCUCCACAGGGGAUUGCAUUUAGCUGCACUAAUGCACUUAACUGCCAGUUCCCUCUAGAAAACAAGUGUAAUGGCUGAAGGGGUGGUGAAUAACAACAGGAAGUAUUUUCACAGCUUGGAACAAACUCAGUAUAUGUAUGAGCACAGUGGCCACCAAGGAUAGGAACGAACGAUUCUGUAAUGAUGACUUUGAAUGUGAAAGGAGUUGUAAAUAUUUCAAAUGAGACACAGUACUGUACUGAUCACAGCCUGAUCAUGACAGAAGCACAGCAGAGCAAACAAUCUCAUCGGAGGAAGUUUUGUAUUGAUGCUCGCAUAAGGACAGUGUCCGGCUUCAUUAUCUUCCUCCUUGAAGACAUGGGAAGAUCCUCUUAAUACGUGAUUGAUGCUCUUCAGCAUUGGCAGUGGGCAGUAGUGCAUGGUGUAAUCAAUUCUGUGUUUAUCCUGCAUCCAGAACCCCUGAAGAGAAGAGUGUGUGAGUAGAAUAUGUUAUAACAGUUGUGUUGGCUGAUGAAUCAGCCUGUGAAACCAGCUUUUGGUAUACAGCAUAAAACUAAGCAGUGGAAAAACGUGGAACGUUUCCUUACAAUCCAGAAUGUUGAAUAAAGUUACAUUUGAACAUA